UAGCUGGAAUUACAGGAGCCUGCCACCAUGCCUGUAUAUCUUUAUAGUAGUAUGAAAAUGGAGUUAUACAGCAUCCUAAUUCUGCCACAAGUCAUUGGAAGACCAGGGUAAUACAAGGCAGAUGUUCUUCCAACUCAGACCAGAACCUUCUAGUACCUCAAACCACCUGGGCCUGGUGAUAUGAAAGAGGGAAUCCAGGCCAACCUCAGAAGACCUGAUAGGAAAGAUCUUGGAGUCUGGUUUAGAUUGGUCUACCCUAAAAGUUA
rnacentral:lncRNA from 1 species